GCAAGUCGAACGGUGAACACGGAAGCUUGCUCUGUGGGAUCAGUGGCGAACGGGUGAGUAACACGUGAGCAACCUGCCCCUGACUCUGGGAUAAGCGCUGGAAACGGCGUCUAAUACUGGAUACGAGUAGCGACCGCAUGGUCAGUUACUGGAAAGAUUUAUUGGUUGGGGAUGGGCUCGCGGCCUAUCAGCUUGUUGGUGAGGUAAUGGCUCACCAAGGCGUCGACGGGUAGCCGGCCUGAGAGGGUGACCGGCCACACUGGGACUGAGACACGGCCCAGACUCCUACGGGAGGCAGCAGUGGGGAAUAUUGCACAAUGGGCGCAAGCCUGAUGCAGCAACGCCGCGUGAGGGAUGACGGCCUUCGGGUUGUAAACCUCUUUUAGCAGGGAAGAAGCGAAAGUGACGGUACCUGCAGAAAAAGCGCCGGCUAACUACGUGCCAGCAGCCGCGGUAAUACGUAGGGCGCAAGCGUUAUCCGGAAUUAUUGGGCGUAAAGAGCUCGUAGGCGGUUUGUCGCGUCUGCUGUGAAAUCCGGAGGCUCAACCUCCGGCCUGCAGUGGGUACGGGCAGACUAGAGUGCGGUAGGGGAGAUUGGAAUUCCUGGUGUAGCGGUGGAAUGCGCAGAUAUCAGGAGGAACACCGAUGGCGAAGGCAGAUCUCUGGGCCGUAACUGACGCUGAGGAGCGAAAGGGUGGGGAGCAAACAGGCUUAGAUACCCUGGUAGUCCACCCCGUAAACGUUGGGAACUAGUUGUGGGGUCCAUUCCACGGAUUCCGUGACGCAGCUAACGCAUUAAGUUCCCCGCCUGGGGAGUACGGCCGCAAGGCUAAAACUCAAAGGAAUUGACGGGGACCCGCACAAGCGGCGGAGCAUGCGGAUUAAUUCGAUGCAACGCGAAGAACCUUACCAAGGCUUGACAUAUACGAGAACGGGCCAGAAAUGGUCAACUCUUUGG
rnacentral:rRNA from 1 species